GAUGAACGCUGGCGGCGUGCCUAAUACAUGCAAGUCGAACGAAGUGUUCUUGUGUUUACACGGGAGCACUUAGUGGCGGACGGGUGAGUAACGCGUUGGUGACCUGCCCUAAAGAAGGGAACAACCUCGGGAAACUGAGGCUAAUACCCUAUGUGCUUAUAGAGAUUAGAUGCUUUAUAAGUAAAGGUUCUGUGGACGAAAGGCUGCAGAGCCGCUUUAGGAGGGGCCUGCGUCCCAUCAGCUAGUUGGUAGGGUAAUGGCCUACCAAGGCAAUGACGGGUAGGGGACCUGAGAGGGUGACCCCCCACACUAGCACUGAAACACGGGCUAGACACCUACGGGUGGCAGCAGUAGGGAAUAUUGCACAAUCGACGAAAGUCUGAUGCAGCAACGCCGCGUGUGCGAUGAA
rnacentral:rRNA from 1 species